ACCGUCCUUAUCUGGGGGUUGCGUGGCUGCUCAAUGAACGCGUAGUGAGAGCAGCCCUGCUAACACCUUGAGCAACACAGUGGCGCCCGCCCCGCUGCGCGGCGCAAUUUUUGGAACC
rnacentral:ncRNA from 1 species